AUUCAUCAAGAAGCUUCAAGAGCAAAAAUUCAUUGAAUCUUCCUCAAUUCUUCACCAAUUCACGAAAUUCUUCUUGCUUCAUCUUCCUUGGAUCAAGAACUUCAACUGUUUCAUCAAUUCAUUGCCUUAACCUUGCAAAUCCGCGACUGUUCAAGUGGUGAUCAACAAUGGCAAAUUGAAAUUUCUUCCAAUAGGAGCAACUUCGAGCCAAGCUAAGCAUUGCAAUUACCUUCCUGAAGCAUCUCCUUCAUCUGUUUUGGAUUGUUGCGCGCCAAGGCUCAAAGAAUUACCACUGUCUUCAAUUUAAG
rnacentral:lncRNA from 1 species